UACGUAGGGGGCUAGCGUUGUCCGGAAUCAUUGGGCGUAAAGCGCGCGUAGGCGGCCAGAUAAGUCCGGUGUGAAAGUCACAGGCUCAACCUGUGAAUGCCGCUGGAAACUGUCUGGCUAGAGUCCGGAAGGGGCGAGUGGAAUUCCCGGUGUAGCAGUGAAAUGCGUAGAUAUCGGGAGGAACAUCUGUGGCGAAGGCGACACCCUGGACCAGCACUGACACUGAGGCACGAAAGCGUGGGGAGCAAACAGG
rnacentral:rRNA from 1 species